GAAUAUUGGACAAUGGGGGGAACCCUGAUCCAGCCAUGCCGCGAGUGUGAAGAAGGACUUUUGGUUGUAAAUCACUUUAAGCGAGGAGGAGGCCACUCUAAUUGAUACAUAGAUGUAGUGGAUGUUACUGGCAGAAUAUGCACCGGCUAACUCUGUGCAAGCAGCCGCGGUAAUACAGAUGGUGCAAGCGUUAAUCGGAUUUACUGGGCGUAAAGCGCGCGUAGGUGGCCAAUUAAGUCAAAUGUGAAAUCCCCGAGCUUAACGUGGGAAUUGCAUUCGAUACUGGUUGGCUAGAGUAUGGGAGAGGAUGGUAGAAGUCCAGGUGUAGCGGUGAAAUGCGUAGAGAUCUGGAGGAAUACCGAUGGCGAAGGCAGCCAUCUGGCCUAAUACUGACACUGAGGUGCGAAAGCAUGGGGAGCAAA
rnacentral:rRNA from 1 species